rnacentral:rRNA from 1 species
AGUGAACGCUGGCGGUAGGCCUAACACAUGCAAGUCGAACGGCAGCACAGUAAGAGCUUGCUCUUACGGGUGGCGAGUGGCGGACGGGUGAGGAAUACAUCGGAAUCUACUUUUUCGUGGGGGAUAACGUGGGGAAACUUACGCUAAUACCGCAUACGACCUACGGGUGAAAGCAGGGGAUCCUCGGACCUUGCGCGAUUGAAUGAGCCGAUGUCGGAUUAGCUAGUUGGCGGGGUAAAGGCCCACCAAGGCGACGAUCCGUAGCUGGUCUGAGAGGAUGAUCAGCCACACUGGAACUGAGACACGGUCCAGACUCCUACGGGAGGCAGCAGUGGGGAAUAUUGGACAAUGGGCGCAAGCCUGAUCCAGCCAUACCGCGUGGGUGAAGAAGGCCUUCGGGUUGUAAAGCCCUUUUGUUGGGAAAGAAAAGCAGCAGGUUAAUACCCCGCUGUUCUGACGGUACCCAAAGAAUAAGCACCGGCUAACUUCGUG